CACGUAGGAGGCAAACGUUAUCCGGAUUUACUGGGCGUAAAGCGCGUGUAGGUGGUUCUGUAAGUAGGGCGUGAAAGCUCCCGGCUCAACUGGGAGAGGCCGUUCUAAACUGCAGAGCUAGAGGAUGGUAGAGGGAGGUGGAAUUCCAGGUGUAGCGGUGGAAUGCGCAGAUAUCUGGAGGAACACCAGUGGCGAAAGCGGCCUCCUGGACCAUUCCUGACACUCAGACGCGAAAGCUAGGGUAGCAAACGGGAUUAGAUACCCCCGUAGUCCCU
rnacentral:rRNA from 1 species